GGUGGCCGUUUGCCGCUGCUCAGGCGCUAACAGACUGACACCUGUAACAUUAGCCACUGUGGCAGUGUGGGGGUCACCUCUAGGCCAUUUAGGAAGAUCAACACUAGGCCUGCUUCUGCCUUCUGCAGCUCACUGCUACCACUCAUUGCUGAUGGAAGCUGGGGAUUACAUAACUGCUAUGUGCUGGAACCACUGACGGUCACAGUGCAGAGUAACCUGUGCACUGAGAGCCACACAUCUCCGGCUUCUAAAACUUUGAACAGAAAGCCUUCCGCUCUCAGGUCUUGAGUUGUCAGCUUGGGGUUUUUGCCAGCCCACGCUAGGCCUUGGGAACUCAGGAGCCAGGGAUUGUCUCCACUAGAAGAGUUUUUCUUUACCUGCCCACCAAUUUCUAUCCUUAAGGACCCCAGGCAAAUGAUUAAGGAUGCAGUAUGAGAACACACUUUCCUAUGACAGGGCCAGCCUUUUUGUCUCCCAGCAGUUGACUAGCUCAGUGUGCACCCCAGCCCUGGCACAACACACACCGCAGCCUUGAGGAACCUUGUGAAGAAUUAAUUGGCCUAUUUUAUGGAAACUGAGGCACUAGUAGGCAUGAGGGGCCAAGCCUCAUGGCCAAAGGUAGACAGGAAUGAAGUGGCUAUUACACCCUAGGCCCAGCCUCCCCAACAGGCUUUCUGCCAGGAGACAUAGUCUGCAGGGAGAGGAGGUGGGAUGUCAGCAACACCUGUCUACUGGGAUUCUGCUCUGAGCUCAGGAACCCUGUGGCUCUAGGAGCCUCUAGGCUACAGCCUUCUGUUGGGCAGCUCCUCUCUUCCCAUGCCUGUUCUUUCCGGUACUCCUGGACCCCUCUGACUAGUCACUGGCAGGCACCCAUAUGCAGCAAUGUCUGCAGCUCUCAACUAUGUGUGGAUAGCAGAGCUAUGUAGAAAUCUACAAUCAAGAGGAGUCACAGCAUCUGUUACAGGUGGUGAAUGAAUGCCCCUAACACUAGGCCACAUCAGUUUCACAGGGAAAGUGUCAGCUCCCGGCAACUACAGUGAGCUCCCAACCAAUAGGGGGUUGGGCCAUGCCUGCCUCUACACACAGCUGAUGUCAGCAGAGAUGCCCUGGCUUCAAGCCCAGCACAGCGAUUAGGAAAACACAAUUCUUAAUAUCCG
rnacentral:lncRNA from 1 species